UACGUAGGGUGCAAGCGUUGUCCGGAAUUAUUGGGCGUAAAGAGCUCGUAGGCGGUCUGUCGCGUCUGCUGUGAAACUCGGGGCUUAACCCCGGCCUGCAGUGGGUACGGGCAGACUAGAGUGCGGUAGGGGAGACUGGAAUUCCUGGUGUAGCGGUGAAAUGCGCAGAUAUCAGGAGGAACACCGGUGGCGAAGGCGGUCUCUGGGCCGUAACUGACGCGUGAGGAGCGAAAGCGUGGGGAGCGAACAGG
rnacentral:rRNA from 1 species